rnacentral:rRNA from 1 species
ACGAACGCUGGCGGCGUGCCUAAUACAUGCAAGUCGAGCGGAAUGAUGAAGAAGCUUGCUUCUUCUGAUUUUAGCGGCGGACGGGUGAGUAACACGUGGGCAACCUACCUUGUAGAUUGGGAUAACUCCGGGAAACCGGGGCUAAUUCCGAAUAAUCCAUUUUGCUUCAUGGCGAGAUGUUAAAAGGCGGCUUCGGCUGUCACUACGAGAUGGGCCCGCGGCGCAUUAGCUAGUUGGUAGGGUAAUGGCCUACCAAGGCGACGAUGCGUAGCCGACCUGAGAGGGUGAUCGGCCACACUGGGACUGAGACACGGCCCAGACUCCUACGGGAGGCAGCAGUAGGGAAUCUUCCACAAUGGACGAAAGUCUGAUGGAGCAACGCCGCGUGAGUGAAGAAGGUUUUCGGAUCGUAAAACUCUGUUGUAAGGGAAGAACACGUACGAGAGUAACUGCUCGUACCUUGACGGCACCUUAUUAGAAAGCCACGGCUAACUACGUG